UCGAGCGCUCGUAGCAAUACGGGAGCGGCAGACGGGAGAGUAACACGUGGGAACGUACCUUUCGGUUCGGAAUAACCCAGGGAAACUUGGGCUAAUACCGGAUACGUCCGCAAGGAGAAAGAUUUAUCGCCGGAAGAUCGGCCCGCGUCCGAUUAGCUAGUUGGUGUGGUAAUGGCGCACCAAGGCGACGAUCGGUAGCUGGUCUGAGAGGAUGAUCAGCCUCACUGGGACUGAGACACGGCCCAGACUCCUACGGGAGGCAGCAGUGGGGAAUAUUGGACAAUGGGCGCAAGCCUGAUCCAGCCAUGCCGCGUGGGUGAUGAAGGCCUUAGGGUUGUAAAGCCCUUUCGGCGGGGAAGAUAAUGACGGUACCCGCAGAAGAAGCCCCGGCUAACUUCGUGCCAGCAGCCGCGGUAAUACGAAGGGGGCUAGCGUUGCUCGGAAUCACUGGGCGUAAAGCGCACGUAGGCGGGUCUUUAAGUCAGGGGUGAAAUCCUGGAGCUCAACUCCAGAACUGCCUUUGAUACUG
rnacentral:rRNA from 1 species